rnacentral:tRNA from 1 species
AUUUAUAUAGUUUAAAUAAAACAUUUCAUUUUCAAUGAAAAAAAAGCAUUAGCUUAUAAAUU